AGAGUUUGAUCCUGGCUCAGGACCAACGCUGGCGGCGUGCGUAACACAUGCAAGUCGGACGGAGGGGUUGCCUUCGGGCAGUCUUUCAGUGGCGGACGGGUGCGGAACACGUGGAUGACCUACCCCGCGGUGGGGGAUACCCGGCAGAAAUGCCGGCUAAGACCGCAUAGGCUCGCUUGGGUCACGCCGGGUGAGCAAAGCCCUCUUGGGGGAAACGCCAGGGGGGUGCCGGGGGCGGGGUCCGCGGCCGAUUAGCUGGUUGGUGGGGUAAGAGCCCACCAAGGCGACGAUCGGUAGCUGGUCUGAGAGGAUGAUCAGCCACACUGGGAUUGAGAACGGCCCAGACUCCUACGGGGGGCAGCAGUGAGGAAUCUUCGGCAAUGGGCGCAAACCUGACCGAGCAACGCCGCGUGCGGGAGGACGCCUUUCGGGGUGUAAACCGCUUUUCUGGGGGACGAGCACCCGGCGGGGUCAUGCCCGUCGGCGGACGGUACCGCAGGAAGAAGCCUCGGCUAACUACGUGCCAGCAGCCGCGGUAAUAC
rnacentral:rRNA from 1 species